CGCUUGCUGGGGGAGGCAGCGAGAUGCGAGCCCUGCACAGACAGCCCCGUGCAGCUGCUCUGCCAGGGAUACGAUGGGGAGAUGCUGGAGGAUGCCACGGUCCCUGCACCAUGAGGUCUCUGUGCUGUGCAAAAACACCUCCCCGAGGCCAGGCAGGAGCUGCUCGGCCCCAGCCACCUCGGGGUGGAGGUGACAGCUGCCAGGAGCGUCACCAAACACCGCUCAGACGUGCUCAGGGCAGGAUAUGGAGUAUCCCAUAUCCAGCCUGGGGGCCCCAUGGGGACAGAGAGCCCCAUGGGGGGACAGCCUGCACGUGGCCUGGGCUCACCCCGAGGCAGCAGGCGGCACACGGGGGGAGCUGGGCCCCCCAGCACCCCCUCCACGUGCCUUCCCCUGCACCAGCAGCUGCCACCCACGUGCCUCUCUCUGGUUUCCAAAAGAGGGAGAGAGCUUUAAAAAUGGGGUCCCUGCAUCAGCUGCUCCAUCCCACACCGGGAAGGUGCAGGGGCUGCUCAGACACCCCGAGAAAUGCAGGAGCAGCUGCGGGGCUGGGGCAUCAGCUGCCGCGGGGGGGCUGCAGUUGGUGGGGUUGGGGACGCUGGGUUCUGCUGGAGAGGGGGCCACCAGCGUGCCGGGGGGACAGCAGCAGGGAGAGCUGCUUGGGGCACAUCUCAGGUUACCAAACCUUCACAUCCAGCGAGGAUAAGCCUCUGGUUUCGCUCAGCCUUGGGGGGAAAUGCAGCUUUCCUGUUCACGUGGGGAAAAUCUCUACCAAGGCGGCUCGACACGCUCAGCGCCAGGCUGCUCCGCACCGCCGGCACGGUCAGGGAGCAGGGAGGGAUUUUGGAGAUGCAUUUUUGGCCCCACACGUGCUGCCCUGGACGGCUGCGGGGUGGCAGGGCUUCCAGCCAAAAAAUCCCAGCUAUGCAGCACGGGCAGGCGGCCGGCACCACCGAGGAGCCCGGCCACCGCCAGCUGCCCCACACAGGAACGCGUCCCCUCCCCACAAAUAAUCCCAAAGAAGGGGCCUGGGUGGCUGACCCGGCGCCCCGCUGGCAGGAGGAUGGGCUGGGGGUGCCGUGUGCCCCCCUGACCAUGAGCAGAGCCUCGGGGAGGUUUUGCCAGCACAGACCUGACACCGACACCCAGCCCUCGCGUGGGGCCACGACGCUGAUUCCUCGCUGAUUGUGCACCGAGGGGAACGGGGGCAACGAGCUGCCACUCAGCGAAACCCAUUUGUAAAGAUUAAUACAAACCAGGCUUUCGUCCCAGGCCCUACAUUGCCUCAAGCCAGAGAACACUGGAACUUUAAUUGUAUCAGUAUAAUAAAGAAAAAAAAAAGGAGAUGCUUAAUCUAGAU
rnacentral:lncRNA from 1 species